rnacentral:lncRNA from 1 species
GCGCGUGAAGCUGCCAAGCCGGGGCAAAGAACAUGUGUUAUCAUUGUUUUUUCUCUUAAUUAAGUGAGAGUAACUCUCCCUUGCCACUCGAUAGAAGGUUUUCCUAACAACCGUAUGAUUUAUUAAACACUGAGAUAAGUGAAAGAUUGAUGUAAGUAUAAAUGAUGGAAAAUAUCUUCGUCAAGUGGUUAUGAUUGUCGAUUGAGAAAUAACCAUUUAUAAAUGGACUUAAAAUUAAACACUCCCCUCGAUAAAAUAAGCAAUUGUGAGGUACGUAUAAUGAUU